CCUGUUUGCCCCAGACUGAAGACAUGGCAGCUCUCCAACCCUGAAUCCUGGCCUCGACAGCAACCCGCAAAAUCCAGCUGCCUAACCCCAGGCCUCCGCCGAGCAGCAGGAGAAGGGGAGGCUUCUGGGAAGUGAGGAGCGGGGAUGACACGGAGACAGAGAGGACCUCAGCGCAAAAACUCCACUGGUGGAUGACACCACAGUUAGCAGGAAGAGUGGGGGAGAAAAAGUUCAAAAAAACAAAGUUGGGAAAACUUUGGUUUUAAAAUUGUAGGUUUUCCUUUUGUGUGAUUUUAUUUUAUUUUGUAAUUUACAUUCUAUCCCGCAGCAGUCCUGAACAGCAAGGACCAGAUUGCUUUUGCAAUUCUUCUUUUUUCUAAGCAAAAGUUUACCUCCAUCACAUUCUUAAAAACUCACCAAAAUUUGCACAUACCUAGAACCCGGGGAAAAUGAAUUCCUAACUCAGUGAAGAACCUCCCCCUAAAAAUUAUGACCUCACAGCGGGAAAAACUGUCAAAAACAAGAAUGGGGCCAACAUCUCUAAAGGGGCUCAAAUAAAAUAUGUCAAAAUCCACAAAUGAAACAAAAACACAUGCGUCAGGGUUGUCCAAAGGAAGUUUUGAAAUUAUUAUGGGAUGGCAGCAGAACCUGUGGAUUUCCAUCCAAUCAGUGGCAAAGCGUAUAUUUAGCAUAUGUCACAUUUUCCUCCAAUAUUGUAAAAAACCAACAUAUUUUUCAUGAAAUUUUACAGUCACUAAAGAAAUGUCAGUGCUCUUUGCUCUUGGGAAGAGGCUGCCAUCUUGAAUUAAAAGAAAAAAAUAUAUAUCUUUGGUACCAGCUACAAAUAUAAACUCUUCCUAGGUAUUUCAAUCUAUAGCCUUCAAACUCCUUGAGCAUCAUGAGGAAGCUAACUGGUAAAAA